GAUUUGACACUCUUAUAGUGUUAUAUUUAUAUGAAUUAAACCUUUAUUCUGAUGGGUAUUACUCGUGACACUUAAACCUUGUCAGAGGGAGAAGCACUAUAAUGGACAAUGCCCUACAAAAAGAAAGGUCGUGGCAUUGAAUACCAUGAGAGUAAUGACUACAUACCUCUAGAUAUGAUAUUAGCAACAUUUUACACAGUUAAUGAACAAGUACAAACGAAAUUAAUUGAAUGAAUGAAUUUUGAGUCAUACGUUCGUGUGUUAUUAAGUAUUUUUUAUCAAUUAAGAUCAGGCUGUGUGUAGUACACAAUGCCUGGUCGGCAUUAUGGAGGUAAUUAGUAACACGGACACGCUGAUUCAAAUGUCAAGUUCAUUAAAAUAGAGUAAACUUGACAGGCGCAUGUUGCAUAUAUAAAUCAGAUAGCAUAACAACAUACACAUUCUUAAAUAUAUUGAUGUUCAACUAUAAAGUUUAUUAAUUUACAAGUGUAUUUAACCUGGAUUGCUAUUAUUUUGUGGGGAAACUUACUAAAUUCGAUUGAAUAAAACCUCGGCAAUUUAUUUCGCUAUAUAUUACGAGCUUUGAUAAAAAAAUCAAGAUAAAUUGAGUGUCAAAAGAAUGGCGAGACUAUUAUACAAGGGUAUUGUUGUAAUGGAGAAGGAAAUUGAGGCUAUUGAAAAGAUGGAAAUAAGAGAAGAUGAUAUAUGGGUAUGCACGUUUCCGAGAUCAGGAACUACCAUGACACAAGAAAUGGUUUAUCUCAUCCAGACUUUAGACUUUGACAUGGCGAACAAGGUGCAACUAGAUCGAGCGUUUUCCAAUUUUAGAGGUUAAAGAUGAAAGAUUCCCAUACUACAGGGGAGUAACAUAUAUUGAACAGCUUAAAUCACCACGAAUGAUCAAAACACAUUUACAUCACAGUCUCUUACCAGAACAGCUUCAGAGAGGAAAGGGAAAGAUAAUCUAUAUGGUCCCGCAAUCCAAAAGAUGUUAUCACUUCAUUCUGGCGAUUUAUGCAAUGGGAAGGUAUGGGAAUGCUGAAGCAUUAUGUAAAUUCAUUCAUCGAUGGAACAGGGUAUGGAUGUCCAUGGCCAAGACAUGUUUUGGAAUAUUGGGAGAGACGAAACGAUAAGCAGUUACUGUUCUUGAAAUAUGAAGACGUAGUUCGGGACAGGCCAUCUGCCAUUCAACGUAUAGCUGAAUUUCAUGGGACGAUCUCUUAAUGAUGAUGAAGUACUGAGAAUCAGUGAACAUUGUAAAGUAGAUAAUAUGAGAAGGAAUAGUAUGGUUAACUUGUCGUAUUGGAGAAACUUCAAAUACCUGGACGACAGUUCCGUAUAUGCUUUCAUUAACAAAGGUCAACCUGGAGCCUGGCGUGAUGUACUGACACCAGACCAAAGCACGAAGAUUGAUCAGUUAAUACAACAGUUAGAAAAAUAUGGUUUAGAAAUAGAAAAGACUUGAAAAUUUAGUGAUAAUGUUGUUGAUUUGAC
rnacentral:lncRNA from 1 species